rnacentral:rRNA from 1 species
UGAGGAAUAUUGGUCAAUGGACGCAAGUCUGAACCAGCCAAGUAGCGUGCAGGAUGACGGCCCUAUGGGUUGUAAACUGCUUUUAUAUGGGGAUAAAGUGGGGAACGUGUUCCCUUUUGCAGGUACCAUAGGAAUAAGGACCGGCUAAUUACGUGCCAGCAGCCGCGGUAAUACGUAAGGUCCGAGCGUUGUCCGGAAUCAUUGGGCGUAAAGGGUACGUAGGCGGGUAAGCAAGUUAGAAGUGAAAUCCUGUAGCUCAACUACAGUAAGCUUUUAAAACUGCUCAUCUUGAGAUAUGGAAGGGAAAGUGGAAUUCCUAGUGUAGCGGUGAAAUGCGCAGAUAUUAGGAGGAAUACCGGUGGCGAAGGCGACUUUCUGGCCAUAAUCUGACGCUGAGGUACGAAAGCGUGGGUAGCAAACAGG